rnacentral:lncRNA from 1 species
UUGUGCAAAACCCUAAUGGUGUUAGAGAUGGAGCCAACGUUUGGGCCGUAUUGCCAACCAGGUAAGAACAGUCACGGUGCGCCGGAGUAGGUCCUGCUUUGGUCCUGCCUAUCUGGGCAUCAUCAGAUGAUCUGGUUACAUUCGUAUUGCAGGAUUAAUAAGACUCAGCUUUUCGGUCCAAUUGUUGGAGACUGUUGGAGAAUGACCGACACUCAUCUACAAGUGGAUUGUGAGAGCAGUAAUAGCACUCCUAUUAUAUAACCCGAUGAUUCUGACAGCAGUACAUUCAUGUCUUUGCGCAAACCAAUGUCGGCCCUGUGAUGCGUGCACAUGCGUGUUUGGCCUGAGAGCGGAAGGUACUGGACACCGACUUAGCGGCAUCGCAAUCUGGGUAUCCUUGCUUAUGCGUUGGUCGUCGCUUUUCUUUGAGACUUACCUGCCACACGCUUAUCAGGGCCCCAGGUCAGCAUGCUCUGGCGGCGACAGAAUUUGCCAACAUGCUUGCAACGAGAGUAACGAGAGGCACCGAACACCCUCUCAACAUAAAAUCAAACAUAAAUUAUAGCAUUUAGAUUGCGUCAGUUACUCGUCCUUUUGGCGUGGAUCGAAAAAUCCUUUGCCUGAGAGUUCAUAAGGGUUUUACGGUCUGCCUUUUCUUGGGCAUUUCGGAGGUUAAUUGUACAGCUUGAUAAUGCGCCGUCUCUAUGCAACAACCUACUGAACCAAUUCAGUG